GAUGAACGCUAGCUACAGGCUUAACACAUGCAAGUCGAGGGGCAGCAUGACGAUAGCUUGCUAUUGUUGAUGGCGACCGGCGCACGGGUGAGUAACGCGUAUCCAACCUUCCCGUUGCUAGGGGAUAACCUUGCGAAAGUAAGACUAAUACCCUAUGAUGUUCUUCGCAGGCAUCUAAAGAGAACGAAAGAUUUAUCGGCAACGGAUGGGGAUGCGUCUGAUUAGGUUGUUGGCGGGGUAACGGCCCACCAAGCCUACGAUCAGUAGGGGUUCUGAGAGGAAGGUCCCCCCACAUUGGAACUGAGACACGGUCCAAACUCCUACGGGAGGCAGCAGUGAGGAAUAUUGGUCAAAUGGACGGAAGCCUGAACCAGCCAAGUAGCGUGCAGGAAGACGGCCCCUAAUGGGUUGUAAACUGCUUUCAGUCGGGAAUAACUCGUCGGUCGUGACCGACGUUGCAGGUACCGUCAUAAGAAGGCCGGCUAAUCCGUG
rnacentral:rRNA from 1 species